rnacentral:rRNA from 1 species
GAUGAACGCUGGCGGCGUGCCUAACACAUGCAAGUCGAACGGAGUCGUUUUGGAAAUCUCUUCGGAGAUGGAAUUCUCGACUUAGUGGCGGACGGGUGAGUAACGCGUGAGCAAUCUGCUUUUAAGAGGGGGAUAACAGUCGGAAACGGCUGCUAAUACCGCAUAAAGCAUUAAAUUCGCAUGUUUUUGAUGCCAAAGGAGCAAUCCGCUUUUAGAUGAGCUCGCGUCUGAUUAGCUAGUUGGCGGGGUAACGGCCCACCAAGGCGACGAUCAGUAGCCGGACUGAGAGGUUGAACGGCCACAUUGGGACUGAGACACGGCCCAGACUCCUACGGGAGGCAGCAGUGGGGAAUAUUGCGCAAUGGGGGAAACCCUGACGCAGCAACGCCGCGUGAUUGAAGAAGGCCUUCGGGUUGUAAAGAUCUUUAAUCAGGGACGAAACAAAUGACGGUACCUGAAGAAUAAGCUCCGGCUAACUACGUG